rnacentral:lncRNA from 1 species
GUUCCAUAGGGCUCUGGCAAGUAGUGCACUAUAUAGGGAAUAGGGUUCCAUAGGGCUCUGGUCAAUAGUAGUGCACGACAGAAAGAUGCCUUUUUGGGACACUGACCAGUUGGUCAUGUAUGUGCCUCCUUUAGUAAAUGCUAAAGUUAAAAUAAACAAAACGUCAUAUUGUACAAGAACAACCAAUUGAUGUUGAUUUGUAAAUAUGCUUCUUCUGCUUUCUGAGCUGUUUGUUUUGACUGUGAUAAUGAUGGCGUGUUGGUUUUUUCUAUUGUGUUUAUGUCCAGUGUCUCUCCUACAGUACGUGAGUCCUGUUAUAGCUGGUAACGUGGAAUAGAGAAGUGGUUCUGUGGCCGUACAUAAACGGCCUGCCCUAUUCCCUAUUUAACUGCACUACUUUAGACCAGGGCCCUAUGGGUCGUGGUCAAAAGGUAGUGUGCACUAUGUAGGGAAUAAGGUGCAUUUUGGGGUCCAUCCUCAAUCUGUCCUGCUCCACAGAGGUCAGGGGCCUGUUGGGAUCCAUCCUCAAUCUGUCCUGCUCCUCAGAGGUCAGGGGCCUGUUGGGAUCCAUCCUCAAUCUGUCCUGCUCCUCAGAGGUCAGGGGCCUGUUGGGAUCCAUCCUCAAUCUGUCCUGCUCCUCAGAGGUCAGGGGCCUGUUGGGAUCCAUCCUCAAUCUGUCCUGCUCCUCAGAGGUCAGGGGCCUGUUGGGAUCCAUUCCAAUUGAACUUGGUCAAUUCAGGAAAUAAACUGAUAUUCCAAUUCAAUAAUUAAAAUUAUUUCUAAAAUAACCUGAAAACGAGAAGCUAUUUAUUUCAAAAGUUUUUCCAUCUUUUAAUUAGGAAUCAGAUGGUGUUAGAGUGGAGGAGGGGGGUUCAGAAAGGUUUUUCCAUCUUUUAAUUAGGAAUCAGAUGGUGUUAGAGUGGAGGAGGGGGUUCAGAAAGGUUUUUCCAUCUGUUAAUUAGGAAUCAGAUGGUGUUAGAGUGGAGGAGGGGGGUUCAGAAAGGUUUUUCCAUCUGUUAAUUAGGAAUCAGAUGGUGUUAGAGUGGAGGAGGGGGG